rnacentral:rRNA from 1 species
GACGAACGCUGGCGGCGUGCUUAACACAUGCAAGUCGAGCGGAAAGGCCCUUCGGGGUACUCGAGCGGCGAACGGGUGAGUAACACGUGAGUAACCUGCCCCAGACUUUGGGAUAACCCUCGGAAACGGGGGCUAAUACCGGAUACGACACAGCUUCGCAUGGGGUCUGUGUGGAAAGUUUUUCGGUUUGGGAUGGGCUCGCGGCCUAUCAGCUUGUUGGUGGGGUGAUGGCCUACCAAGGCGACGACGGGUAGCCGGCCUGAGAGGGCGACCGGCCACACUGGGACUGAGACACGGCCCAGACUCCUACGGGAGGCAGCAGUGGGGAAUAUUGCACAAUGGGCGGAAGCCUGAUGCAGCGACGCCGCGUGAGGGGUGACGGCCUUCGGGUCGUAAACCUCUUUCAGCAGGGACGAAGCGUAAGUGACGGUACCUGCAGAAGAAGCGCCGGCCAACUACGUG